GUCUUUUUGAAUUAAAUUUAAAGUCUAACCUGCCCACUGAAAAUUUUAAAUGGCCGCAGUAUUCUAACUGUGCAAAGGUAGCAUAAUCAUUAGUCUUUUAAUUGAAGGCUGGAAUGAAUGGUUGGACGAAAUAUUAACUGUUUCAUUUAAAUUUUUUAUAGAAUUUUAUUUUUUAGUCAAAAAGCUAAAAUAAAUUUAAAAGACGAGAAGACCCUAUAAAUCUUUAUAUUUUAUUUAUUUUAAUUAUAAAGAUUAUUUUUGUUAUAAUAAAUUAAAAUAUUUUAUUGGGGUGAUAUUAAAAUUUAAAAAACUUUUAAUUUUUAAAACCAUUAAUUUAUGAAUAAUUGAUCCAUUAAUAAUGAUUAAAAAUUUAAGUUACUUUAGGGAUAACAGCGUAAUUUUUUUGGAGAGUUCAUAUCGAUAAAAAAGAUUGCGACCUCGAUGUUGGAUUAAGAUAUAAUUUUGGGUGUAGCCGUUCAAAUUUUAAGUCUGUUCGACUUUUAAAUUCUU
rnacentral:rRNA from 2 species